AUCUGUGUUUGCAUGCGCCGGUGUGUGUAUCUCUGUGUCAGUGUGUAUCUAUGUGCGUGUGUGUAUAUGUAUGUGACAUACAGAUACACACACACACUGGCACACAGAUACACAUUGACACACAGAUACACACUCAGAUACACAGACA